rnacentral:snoRNA from 1 species
AUCCUGUGGUGAGGACAUGCGGCCACAUACUCCUGGAGUCGCUCCCAUGAUUCGGGAAUCGACUCGUCCCUCGUCUGCUGGAAUUCUGAAAUCCUCCUGCGAAGGGC